rfam:Raoultella planticola strain GCSL-DIFS-295 CFSAN029441_contig0063, whole genome shotgun sequence.
UGGCUGCGAAAAGAGUUUUAAUUUUUUAAGAGAACGCAGAAAAUUAGCGUUCUCAGGCGACAGGCACAAAACGGAGAGAAACUAUGUUUGAA